rnacentral:misc_RNA from 1 species
AAGACUAUAGACCUGCGGAGUACCUGCGGAAGGAUCAUUACCGAGUAUCGGGUGCUCUCGCGCCCUACUCCCACCCUAUGCUUAUCUAUAACUGUUGCUUUGGCGGGCCGGUGGGUCACUCACCGCCGGGCGGCGCCUGGAGAGCGCCCGCCAGAGGACCAAGCAAAACUCUUUAGUCAACAUGUCGCAUCUGAGCACGCGAGAAUGAACAAAACUUUUAGCAACGGAUCUCUAGAUCGG